rnacentral:misc_RNA from 1 species
UCUUUUCCUUGUCUUUCUAGCUUAAAAAUUCACCAUUGCUUUAACUUGACGUCAAUCCCGCUGCAUCCAUACCUUGAAGAGCUGUAUCUAUAUGAAGUCAGUGAGGAACUUCUACAACAACAGGGAGUGAUGUUGCUCACCAUGAUGACAAUGAGGAUCACCAUGAUGAUGAUGAUGAUGGCAGCUUUACAGAGCCCCAGAGAAUCUUCCACCUCCCUUUCUUUACUUCCCCAUGAUUCCUUCACUGCUUCUCCUCUUUCUAAACUAAAGUCUCUGCAACUUGUGAGAAUUGAUGAUUUAGAAUCUUUGCCAGAGGCAUGGUUGCCAAACCUGACUUCUCUUGAGCAUGUAAAGAUUGAGGAGUGCCCUAAACUAUCAAGUUUACCGCGACAAGGUUUCAAGGCCUUGACUUCUCUCCGAAAUCUGAGGAUCUACAGGUGUGAAGGGUUAAAGUCUUUAUCUAAUGGGAUUCAACAUCUCACUGCUCUUGAGGAACUGAGGAUCAGGAGCUGUGAGGAGCUUGAUCUUUCAGAUGAUGGUAUGCAAUUGCAAGACCUUAAAAAGCUUCAUUAUCUGGAACUCAGUGAUAUCCCAAAAUUGGUUUUUCUUCCAAUCUGGAUUCAAGACACCCCUAGUCUACAAGAAUUGCAGGUUGAAGAAUGUAAAAAUUUGGUUGCUUUGCCAGAGUGGAUUGACAGCCUCACAUUGCUUCAAAGACUUAAAAUUUCCUAUUGCCCCAGAUUGACUUCAUUGCCAGAUAGGAUUCGCAAUCUUGCUGCUUUACAACAGCUUUGCAUUUGCAAUUGCCCUCACCUAUCUAGAAGAUGCCAGAAAGCCAGAGGUGCAGAUUGGCCCAAAAUUGCUCACAUUGCAAUGAUCAAAAUUAAUGGCAAGUGGGUCCAACGCCUAACAUGACAUCAUUCUGAUACAAGGAAUUCUCUGCUUGAAGGUUUCUCUUGACAUGCAAGGCCACUGUGCUCUGUUUGUAGACCUUAUGGGAUUGCUGGGUUGCUCAUUUUGCUUUUUGGAUGGAUGUUGCUUUUUUCAGUGGUUUUGUGCUGCCAUGUUGGUGGCUUUGCUAUGGUUGUUCUUAGGCUAAGUGUUCCAUGGGGUGUUCUCUCUGCUUGCCUUUUCUGUUCCUGCGUUUGUUUGCUGUUGCUUGUUGGUUGUACUGUUUUUGCAAGGGAUUCUUAUCGGCUCUUUGGCAUAGAAUUUAGGUGGGUGUAAGGGUUUGGCUUGCGGGUCUGGG